CCGUUUUGCUCUAAUGGAGGUUCUCAUUUUGCAACGCUUCAUGUUUCUCCGCUUUCUUCCACCGUUUCGCUCUUUAUGGUUUCUUAUUUAAUUUCCAAAGUGCAGCAAGGCUUAAAGAUCAAAUGGAUCCCGCUGCAAGAGAAUUUCGUUAUCUCUUCCUUCCCCUUAACCUUAACCUUAACCUAGCAGCGUCGCUGCUCACAUGAGACAGAUCGUGGCUCUGCGGUCCAGGGCGGUGGCCCGUGGUUGCUUGAGGCCGUUCUAAUCAUUCUGUUUUUUAUAGAGACUCGAAAAUUAGGCAACCUUUAGCCGGAGAAAUGUGUGAGAUGGCUGAGUACUGGACGCGCAACACCUGGGGGCUGGGGUGGAGAAAGGAACAACACGGGAAAGAGAAAUAGAGACUCUCGAUUUCUCUGAUCUUGCUGCCCUCUGAUACCAGGUUCUCACCGGGCCUGCUCCUUAUCUUUGAAUUCAGUCUGUUGUGCAUUUCCUUCUUAGUACAUAAUUUUUAUCCCAUCCUCUGGUGUGACCCAUAUUGAUGGCCAAUUGUAUGGCAACAGAUACAAGCAAGUUAUAUUCACAUGACCCUAUAGGUGAAUUUUUAACAUUGAGAGUGUGGAAAAUCGGGGAGCCAUGGUGCUUAUUCAUGCAGCAUGGAGAGGAUAUUAAAUAGGUGACGUCAUUCAUCACCAUCGUCUCCUUCGUUGUUGGUUAUUGGAAUCAAUUAGUUAUCUCAAUCUUUGCUACCACCCAUUGCUGAACUUGCUGAAGACAGGCAUCUGAGGGUUUGGCUUGCAAUAACAGUGCAUAUACCCUUAUUGGCAAAGCCAAUAGCUUGGUGCUCUUUGCAUGCAGUGGUUACUGGACAAGGUUUGCAGACUCCAUUUUUUUUUGCUAAUUUGAGCAUAUUUUAGGGGACCAUUUAUUCCACAUGAGUGUUGUUACAUUCUUUUUGUUUCGUGCAAGUUCAUUCAAUUCGUGAGCCAACUGCUUGGAGAAUAUACCCAUUCUUUGAUUUAGUGUUCUGAUAACCCAUUCUUGGUGAAUUAUUGACCUGUUUUUGUAUAUACUGAACAGAAUUAUGGUCCUCAUGCCCAAAAAAACCGAUGAGGACAUAUGUAACCACCAUCUCAUUCAAUUUUGCUUAGUAUAUGACUUUUUGCAGAUAUAAAACCAACUAAAGUACUUCUCUUUUUGCUUUUUUUUUUCUUCAAAUAGAUUGCAUGGAGUUGGGACUUUGGAUAUUAUAAGAUAUUCAAGAUAAUGAAAGCUAAAUUGCUGCAACUUGGAGGCAAGGAACUGUUUUCGGUGUAGAACUUUUUUUUGUAGGAUACAAUGUACAAGAACUAGCAAAUAGGAAGAUUACAUACUUUGUAAUUGGUGUUUGCUGGGUGAAGAGAAUAAUGUUAGGAAGUUGCAAUAUGUAGUAAAAAUUGUACUCUAAAUGUGAUGAAGUUAACACAUUCUUCGCAACAUUUUUAGGUUCUUGAACUUUUUUGCAGGCAUAUGAAGUGGUUAUUGAAGCAGGAAGAAUUAUUUGUAAACAAAACAAGGACCGAUCUACACAUUGCCUAGGGAUUCAAGUGGAUUUUUGUACUUAACAGUUUCGUCUUUGCUGUCUUUUGUUCAUGUAAAAGUUAAAGAGGAAAUACACUUUAUGCCAAAUAAUAUGAGAAUUUGAAA